rnacentral:snRNA from 1 species
GUGCUCGCUUCAGUAGCACAUAUACUAAAACUGGAAUGAUACAGAGAAAAUUAGCCUGACCCCUAUGUAAGGAUGACAUGCUAAUUCAUGAAGUGUUCCAUAUUUAA